ensembl:snoRNA small nucleolar RNA SNORD101
GCUUGAAUGAUGACCAUAUAAUCUUUUGUCGGAUACCCCUUCACUCCACAAUGAGUGAGAUCCUUGUUCUGACAAUGC